rnacentral:lncRNA from 12 species
GCUCCUGAGAAACUGCUGAGACCUGGCAGGUUCCUGGAGUCUGCGGGGGAGCCAAAGGAAAAGAAAGAGGAGCAUUAGAAGGGGCAGGAGCCCCACUGGGAAUGGGGAUCUGUCUACCCUGUAGGUUGGGGGGUGGGGUUCAGAGCAGGCCCGUGGGAAGCGGUGGUUCUCCACGGCCUUGGUACCGUGCACCGCGCUGCCCAGGCCACCCCUGACACCGAGUGACCACCAGGACGCGGGGCUCGGUGCUGGGCCCCAGGCCUUGCUGAUUGCUCACCCCCCCUCUCCCCGCCCCGGGGGGCGCCUUCUGAGUCAGAACCGCGGGAGGGUAAAGCGGGAGCGAGCUGCGGCCCUUCCCAUUCUGCAAGCGCCCCGCGCGGGUAAGGGAGGCCCGGGCUCCUGAGCUGGAUCCGGGCGCCAAGAAGGGCCCUUUUCACCCCUGCGGGGAAGGGAAGGAUGUCGAGAGAAUUAAUGACCUAUAUUUUGGAGUCUCUCAGAGCUGUGUAAACAAAAAGAAGUGGCAAUAAUUGAAGAGGGCAGAAGGAAAUGGAUUCUGGUACAGAAAUCAACGAACCAAAGACUUCAGCUGGAGCCCAAAUCCACACACACGCUCCCUUUCCGAGGGAUCACCUGCUUGUGAGCCACUGACUCCUGGGCCACACUGCUUGAGAUGCCUGUGCGCCACGGUGAGACUAAUAUCAGGGUACAUCUCUGGACCCCACACCUAUCAUUCUAGGACCCAAGCCUCAUCUGUUUCCCCUUCUCCUUUUGGGCAUUUUUGGUGUCAUAAGAUCCCUGAUGAGCUAGCCCUCAACUUGUAUGUAAUGCUCAACAUUUUCCUCCCUUC